rnacentral:rRNA from 1 species
GACGAACCGUGCGAACGUUGUUCGGAUUCACUGGGCUUAAAGGGCGCGUAGGCGGGCCAUCAGGUCAGGGGUGAAAUCUUUCGGCUCAACCGGAAAAGUGCCUUUGAUACUGGUGGUCUCGAGGGAGGUAGGGGCAUGCGGAACUUCCGGUGGAGCGGUGAAAUGCGUAGAUAUCGGAAGGAACGCCGGUGGCGAAAGCGGCGUGCUGGACCUCUUCUGACGCUGAGGCGCGAAAGCUAGGGGAGCAAACGGGG